GAUAAACGCUGGCGGCGCACAUAAGACAUGCAAGUCGAACGGACUUAACCAUUAGUUUACUAUUGGAGCGGUUAGUGGCGGACGGGUGAGUAACGCGUGAGGAACCUGCCUCGGAGUGGGGAAUAACAGCCCGAAAGGGUUGCUAAUACCGCAUGAUGCAGUUGUGUCGCAUGACACUGACUGCCAAAGAUUUAUCGCUCUGAGAUGGCCUCGCGUCUGAUUAGCUAGUUGGCGGGGUAACGGCCCACCAAGGCGACGAUCAGUAGCCGGACUGAGAGGUUGACCGGCCACAUUGGGACUGAGACACGGCCCAG
rnacentral:rRNA from 1 species